CACCGCGGUUAUACGAAAGACCCUAGUUGACAAACACGGCGUAAAGGGUGGUUAAGGGACAUACAAAAUAAAGCCAAAGACCCUCUAGGCCGUCAUACGCAUCCCGAAGGUACGAAGCCCCCACACGAAAGUAGCUUUAAAUAAACAAAACCCCUGACCCCACGAAAGCUAAGAAA
rnacentral:rRNA from 1 species